CACCUUGGACAAGCUUUGUGUCUGAUCAUUCCACAAAAAAAAACAACUUCGGUUUUGGACUGACUUGUUACCAAAUGCCCACCUAUCCCAGCAGCUACACCUCACUAACCAUACCGAUACCAUGCUCCAAACAGGAGGUUUCAAAACUGGACCGGUCACUGAACCAGCAACAGCCUGUUCAGUGGUUCAACCGGUGGGUCUACCAGUCGGACCACGGUUCUCUAUAUUUUAGGGUAUGCAGAAUCCAACACAUAGAGUACCUGUAGCUGAAUGCAACAAGCAA